UACAGAGGUCUCAAGCGUUGUUCGGAUUCAUUGGGCGUAAAGGGUGUGUAGGUGGCGCCGUAAGUCGGGUGUGAAAUCUCCCGGCUCAACCGGGAGGGUGCGCCGAAUACUGAGGGACUAGAGUGCGGGAGAGGAAAGUGGAAUUCCUGGUGUAGCGGUGAAAUGCGCAGAUAUCAGGAGGAACACCGGUGGCGAAGGCGGGUCUCUGGGCCGAUACUGACGCUGAGGAGCGAAAGCGUGGGGAGCGAACAGG
rnacentral:rRNA from 1 species